rnacentral:RNase_P_RNA from 1 species
GCGAGCGGCCGGGCGGGUUACGGGGAGACCCGAGGAAGCUCCUCCCUUCGUCCACGGGAUUUGGCGCGGCGACGCGCGGCGAGAGAUCGCCGGCUCUGGAACAGAAACGAUACCCAACAGGCAAAUGGCUUUGAUGACAACCAAAUGGCUGUCGGAGGACGCCUGGCUAAGGGAUGAAACGGCCAUCCCAAAUGAAGAAAGGCCAAAAUUGGUCUAUGAAGCACCCGUGGGCGAGACCUAGGUUGGCCGCAUAGACAAAUCCCGCCUGAACAGAAGGAGGGCUACGAGCCGCACGC